rnacentral:rRNA from 1 species
UGAGGAAUAUUGGUCAAUGGGCGCGAGCCUGAACCAGCCAAGUAGCGUGAAGGAUGAAGGUCCUAUGGAUUGUAAACUUCUUUUAUAGCGGAAUAAAGUGACCCACGUGUGGGUUUUUGUAUGUAUGCUAUGAAUAAGGAUCGGCUAACUCCGUGCCAGCAGCCGCGGUAAUACGGAGGAUCCGAGCGUUAUCCGGAUUUAUUGGGUUUAAAGGGUGCGUAGGCGGAAAGAUAAGUCAGCCUGUGAAAGUUUGCGGCUCAACCGUAAAAUUGCAGUUGAUACUGUUUUUCUUGAGUGUACAUAAGGUAGGCGGAAUUCGUGGUGUAGCGGUGAAAUGCUUAGAUAUCACGAAGAACUCCGAUUGCGAAGGCAGCUUACCGGGGUACAACUGACGCUGAUGCACGAAAGUGUGGGUAUCAAACA